AGUCCUGCCUGCCCAGUGACUAAAGUUAAACGGCCGCGGUAUCUUGACCGUGCGAAGGUAGCAUAAUCAUUUGUCUCCUAAAUAGAGACUGGUAUGAACGGCAAGACGGAACUACACUGUCUCCUUUUUCUAUAUCUGAAUUUCACAUUUUCGUGAAGAGGCGAAAAUAAUUUCGUUAGACGAGAAGACCCUGUCGAGCUUAAGUAAAACAUUAGUAUUUAAUUUCUUUUGCAAUAUUCUAAUAUCUACUGUUAAUUAUUUCAAAAGAUAAAUAACCAAUAUUAGCUUUGGUUGGGGCAACCGCGGAGAAACAUUAACCUCCGCUAACAAUUUUUAUUAAGACACACAAGUCUAACAUUGUUACAAACAAAUUAAAUGAUCCACCCAGGUGAUCAAAGGAAAAAGUUACCGCAGGGAUAACAGCGUCAUCUUUUUUAAGAGUUCAUAUUGACAAAAAGGUUUGCGACCUCGAUGUUGGAUCGGGACAUCCUAAGGGUGCAGAAGCUUUUAAGGGUUGGUCUGUUCGACCAUUAAAGUCCU
rnacentral:rRNA from 1 species